rnacentral:rRNA from 1 species
UACGUAGGUGACAAGCGUUGUCCGGAUUUACUGGGCGUAAAGAGCGCGCAGGCGGUCGAUCAAGUCGAGUGUGAAAGCCCCCGGCUCAACUGGGGAGGGUCAUUCGAUACUGAUCGACUCGAAGGCAGGAGAGGGUAGUGGAAUUCCCGGUGUAGUGGUGAAAUGCGUAGAUAUCGGGAGGAACACCGGUGGCGAAGGCGGGUCUCUGGGCCGAUACUGACGCUGAGGAGCGAAAGCGUGGGGAGCGAACAGG